CAUACUGAAGAAAGCGGCAGUACACAACUAGAGUCCAUUCAGACUGGCGUUGUUUUCUAAAGGCAUGGACAAAGAUUUGCCUUCUGGACAGAAGAAUUAUCCCUUUUCCUCCAGGGGACUCUCCAGCCUGUCUUCAGGGUACCAAAGGCAACCUCCUCCAAGCCUUCACCAAGUCUAAUCAGACCGGCUGAGGCUGACAGGUGUCUUAUACUGGAGUUGCCAGAACGUGUCCUCAUGGACAUAUUGGAAGAGGUUGCUCUUCAUGAAGGGGAUACAGCAAUCUUCAAACUGGCUCUGGUGUGCUCCAUGUUCAGAGACCUUGUGUCUACUGAAUAUUUCAGAAGACGAGCACACUUCAAGUGGCUUCACAGUGAGGAC